rnacentral:rRNA from 1 species
CUACCAGGGUAUCUAAUCCUGUUUGCUCCCCACGCUUUCGUGCAUGAGCGUCAGUCAUGGCCCAGGGGGCUGCCUUCGCCAUCGGUGUUCCUCCACAUCUCUACGCAUUUCACUGCUACACGUGGAAUUCCACCCCCCUCUGCCUGACUCCAGUCUUGCAGUCACAACCGCAGUUCCCAGGUUAAGCCCGGGGAUUUCACAGCUGUCUUACAAAACCGCCUGCGCACGCUUUACGCCCAGUAAUUCCGAUUAACGCUCGCACCCUACGUAUUACCGCGGCUGCUGGCAC